rnacentral:misc_RNA from 1 species
CAUUCAGUAGCCUAGCUACUUGUUUACACCCUUGUUUUUUGCGUACCUAUUGUUUCCUCGGUGGGCUUGCCCACCGGCUGGACAAAACCUAUAACCUUUUUUAAAUCUUCAAUCAGCGUCUGAAAUUAUACAUAAUAAUUA